UACGUAGGGUGCGAGCGUUGUCCGGAAUUACUGGGCGUAAAGAGCUCGUAGGUGGUUUGUCGCGUUGUUCGUGAAAACUCACAGCUCAACUGUGGGCGUGCGGGCGAUACGGGCAGACUGGAGUACUGCAGGGGAGACUGGAAUUCCUGGUGUAGCGGUGGAAUGCGCAGAUAUCAGGAGGAACACCGGUGGCGAAGGCGGUUCUCUGGGCCUGUACUGACGCUGAGGAACGAAAGCGUGGGGAGCGAACAGG
rnacentral:rRNA from 1 species